CCAUAUUCCUGAGCAGUUUGCUCAUAGGGCGAGGUAGUUGUGAACUGGCCCUGUAAAAUAUGAUCUAUUGUGCUUCAUUCCCUGCUAGGCCUGCAGCCAAGAAACACACAGAGCCAUUUUGAUUCUGACUCCAUCAAUGCCAUAUGACGGGGGCAGCUAACUGUGUUCAGCAUGGACAACUGUAUAAAUAGAGCAAAGAAUCACGUUGUUCAUUACAGUAGCUGCUUAGGAGGAAGAAAUAAUCCACUGUGAUAGCAACUUUGACAGAUGUGGCAAAUGAGGAAGAAGGGCUUAAAUUGUGUUUCUUCUCCUCUUGCUUUCAGGUCAACCCUGAAUGAAGAAAUUGAUAGUCAAUCUGUCAAGCCUUCUUCCUAUGGAAUUCUGGGAGUUGUAGUAUGGUACGAGCACUCUUUGGUAGAGAAGGCUAAAGACCUUGUAAAGUACAACUCUUGUGAUUUCAUAGCAUUGAGCUAUGGGAGUUAAAGCGAUGUCAAUUUGCAGUAAUUCUACAGUGUAUAUGCAUCCAUAGAAGCAACUACAAUUACUAGUGACAGUGUAUCUACUUGUGAGGAAUUUCUAUAGCUGGCCUUGUGGAGCAGGAUCCUGGUAUUUGUGAAAUGAGAAUGUUUCCAUGCACAGCUUUCACUUAAUAUAAAACUCCUCAACCAUGAAAUGAUUUCUAGAAAUUGAAAACAAAGCUUGAGAACCUGAGAAGGGAGCACUACAGUUCCCAUCUUCCUUGACAAUUUGUCAUGUGGGCUAGAAAUGCCAAUAAUAACAUCUGGAGUGCUAUAGAUCCCCCUUCCCCUGUGUAGACCAUUAGAACAUCUUGUUUUGUAACCCCCUACAUCAAUUUGUUGGUUAACACCUCUUUUCAAAUGCCAAAUGAGCUUAAAUGCCGAACCGAAAGAUUAGAUGCAAUGUUGUAUUACUGUCUCUCUUUGGCUAAGCAACAUGUUUUAAAUAAUCUCAUGUGGCAUAAAACAAAGUACAAAAUAAUUAAAUAAAGAUCGUGGUGCUUUUUCCCAUAGAGCUUUGGUAAUGCAAGCACCUGUGCUGGCGUAUAAAUUGAAAUAUUUGCAUUCAAAACCAUCCCAAAGGAGCUCAAACCCAUCUGUUUAACCAGCGCUUGAAACAUACAAUUGGCAGCUUGCUGAUGGCAUGUGUUUUCAAGAAGAAACAAGAGUAACAGUUGUGAAAAACCACAUUAUUAGAAAUUCUCAAAUUUGUGAGCAGUUUAAUAAAGAAAAGAAAAGAAUGAUAAUGAAUAACAAAGACAGAAAUCUUUGACCUUCCAGUGGAUUUUAGAUGGUGAAUGAAAGCAAAGAUCUAAGGAGCCCCUGCACACACAUUCACUCUGUAGCGUGGCAUCAUUAAUUUGUCAUUCAUGUUUUGAUUCCCAGCUGUUAGGGCAUAGCAAUCCUUUUCCUUGUUAUCGCAGCUGCUGUAAUUUUCUUCAUGCUGUCAAAAUUUUCCUUUUUAACUUGAGUGUGUGCACAGUGGGUGGAAUGGGGAGAGUUUUGAGUGAACUGUGAAGUGUGUGGUAUUGCACGCAAAGAAUAUCACUACAUUUCUAAUAGUCUGGGUAGCUGUUAUUGCAGGUCUUUUCCACACUAGAAAGAGUGUGUCCACACUGUAAAAGCGUGUUCCUUCAGCAGCACAUUUAUCAUUUCUUCUUCCCAUGGAACUUUGGGAUUUUAUUUUUAAAAGGAAAAACAAGAUCAGAUCAUUUUCUGUGAUCUUACAUUACAUUCUAUACAGUUGGCCACCCACAUCUGUGAGUUUAAUUUUAAUAAUUUUGAUUAUUCAUGGGUAUGAUUAACAUGGUCUCUCUAAAAUCUCUUGGUUCUCCAGUGUGACUCUAGGGACAAUUUCAAUCAGAGGUUGACCGUGGAGUUAUGCUUGAGGAUCUUGAAAUUCCUACAGAAGUUUUUUCUCAGGUAAAAAAAAGUUAGAUAUUUAAAAAAUUAACUAGAUAUUUUUAAUUACAAAAAUGUGAGUCAAGCACUGAAAGGGUUAAAAUGGGUGCAAUGACUCAGCAAAAGCUGCAGUUCAAUAUAAGCAGGUGUGUCUGUAGCUUAGUAGGUCUCCGUGUGAGAAGCUUUGGUGAGAAUAGCCCUAGGUUUGAAGACCUCAUAUGUGAAGCUCCAGUGUGAAGGCUGCUGUGUUUAAAGUUACUGUGUGAAGCUCCUGUGUAAGUUUGGUUUGAGAGGAGGCUCUGUGAGAGUGAAGCUGUUUAUCUGCAUGACAAAGAAGCCCAGCAUGGAAGCAAAGAAGAACAAAUAAAGAACUUUAUUUUUGUUAUGGAAACCUUGUUUUUGUAAAUAGUGCAACCAUAUUAUUUUUCUACAAAGAAAAGUCUCCAAAGGAAGAGGUAACAUUGGUCUCUGUGUUUUUGUUGUUUUUAUCACUUUUGGCUACUGGUUCUGGGUCAUGCUGCUGCUAAUAAGUUACUCUGCUAUACAUUUAUGGGGAGGGUCUUUUGUUAAUAAGCCCACUCACCUAACAGAAACUGUAUAGUUCUCAAUUUUUCAAUUUUGAUGUGGUGCAUUAGCUAAUUAAGUCAACAGAGCCAAUUAAAACCAACUGGGAUGACCAACUGGGACAGUCAGCUUCCCAUUGGCUAGCUGAACUUGCUGGGUCCCUAACCUCAUGAAUGUAAGGUCUCACUGUAGUGGUGGCAUUCAUUCAUUUAAAGGAUAAUUAAAGGACUCUGGACAAAGUGUCCAAUGAGGCAGUACCAUUAUUAUUAGGAAAUGUGAAAUUUUUCAAAUUUUCCAGUUUUCCUGUUCUGGCACAGCUCAUUCAGCUAGCCCAAAGAAGAAUUGCUUUCCAUGCAAAAAUCUUUCAUUUUCUUCACAAAUUAUCACUGUGCAUUUAAUUUCCUGGAAGAAUGCCUGGAACAGUGAAUAAUGUCUGAAAACUGUGUAAGAUCAUUUAAUAUUUUCAGAAAGUGGGGAGAGAAUUGCUCGCAUUUCUCAUUCUUGUCUGCAGUAAUAAAAUGAAUGUAACCCUAGUCUCAACUGGUUAUCCGAAAGCAUUGCCUCAGCCAAAGUAACUCCCAUGUGAACAAAAUGUUAAAGAGUAAUGCUUUAUUAAAUAGGUAAUGCAAAACUUGAAAUGCAUUUGAUCAAACUGAUAUUAUUCAGAGGACCUUUGAGGCCUUUUCUAUUUUUCUUGGCAAUGGUGGUUCUUUGCUAAGGAUUCUAGAUAGUUGAACAGAGGAGCCAGAUAAUAUAAUAGUGCUUCCUAACUGUGGAUGGCUGAGCCAAGUAUAGAAUGUAAUGUAAGCAACAUUGUGAUUAAUAUGUAAGCAACCUAGCUUAUAGUAGGUUCUUAGAUCUGAUGGGGUUUGGUUCCAGUAUAUUCAACUCCUAUUACAUGCCGUUGUGUACUAAAACAAUGCCCUUAUAUAAAAUGGCAAAAUCAAGGUUUUUUUGGGGGGGGGGGCUUUUUGAAUAUUUUCAAGCUGUGAAUAGUGAAAUCCAUGAAUGCAAAAUAGUAUACAAUGAUACAGGAGGCCUACUGAAUAGGCAACCUCAUUCCAAUUGAAGCAGAGAAUACAGAACAUGUGGAAGCUUGAUCUGAGGGACCAGUGUUGCCAGACACAGGUCCAUCAUGCUUUGGACCAGUAAUGAGAAGCCCACCCUCCAGAUUUCAACUACCAUUUAUUGGCCUCUGAGGGAGAGAAAAAUAACCAUCGUCUGCUGGAUUUAAUCCCCUCCCUUAUUGCUGUUCACAUUUCUAUGUGUGUCAUGCCUUAUUUAGACAUGAAAGGAGGGGGAUACCAAAUUCAUAACAUGCAAGUUUUCCCAAGAGCCUUUUUUGGCUGAAGGGUGGUGCCGAAAUACUCAUAAAUACAUACAUUUGUUUUUUGUUUUUGUUUUUUAAUGGAUAUAACAAUUGACACUAUAUCUAUAGAUUGAAAGACAUGCAUAACAGCAAUGGUAGAAUGAUGUUGUGGGAUGUAUUAUUCAUAGCUUCAGUCCAUCAUUAUUUUCAUUCUGAUUAGAAUUAAUUUGCUGAACUUAAAACAGCAUGGUGGUUUUGAUUGCUACAUAUUGUGAUUUACAAAGAAGUUCUGGUUAGUGGGAAGUAUCUAGUAGGAAUGGAAAGUUUAUUUUAAAAUAUCUCAGAAAUGGUUAACAAGCUGUUGAGUGCUGAACCCUAUUAAUGAUGACAGCGUUCGCAGUUUGAGACACUUUCUGUGCAAAAUUCACCCAUGAAUUUCUUCUGCAGAAAACAGCAUUUCUGGCACAGGAAUUAGCAUUUUCUGUCUAGACCAUAGUAUUUCUACUAAGUAAUAUAUUUUUUUGCACAGAAGAUACUGUAUUUUGUGAGAGAGGGAGAAUAUAAAUUUUGCACAAAAUACAUCUCAAACUAAAAAUUGUGUGAUUUCCAAAGUCUUCUGAUAGUGGAAAGGAAAUUGUUAAAGUUGCCUAUUCCUUCAAGAAUGAACUUAGAAAAGCAUUACAUCCCAGGUAGCUAGGGGUAUCAUAGGUGAGUGAUGUAUUUAAAUCAAAUAUGCUUUCUUUGGAUUGAACUUCCUUUGCAACUUUCUUUUCUUAAGUUGCUCACCUGAGUAAAUGAUUUAGAAUUUGUGAUAUGCUUGGAACAGUAAAGCUCACAGGGUACGAAGGAUGGAGUACCAACUUCAAAUGGGGUGUCUAGAAAUGUGUGUUAAUUCCACCAUUAGACUGAAAAUCCCCAAAUGCUCAGACACAGAUUUGUAGGAAAAUUGUCACGCUUCUAACAAACUAUAGAAGCUUGCUAUAAUCUGCUGUCAGCACUGCCAAUUUUUUUGUCUGCCAGUAUCACAUAAGCUAUUAUGACUCAGAGAUGAACAUGUGACCCUCUGCAUGUGGCCAGAAGGGGGUGGCAAGGGUUAGUCAUAAUCUUUAUUGACUGUGUGGCAGAGGAGAACAUUUUUCUGUCACUAUGAGAUAGUGUGAAGUAUUUUUACAGUACAGACCACCUAACGUGAUACCAGGUAAUCUAAGUAGUGAAUGAAGGAGAUUUAACACAAAUAUUUCAGCACAUCACCUGGUUGGAUGGCUCAAGGUUUCAUUCAGCUUGUAUUCCCAGUUGUAACCUAUUAAAUAUGAAUAUGUAUCAUCGUCUUCAAACAUAAAGUAUUUCUGUCAGCUGUCUACUUAGAACAUCUGUUGAGCAUUUACCAUUUAGAGCUCAUAAAUGAUAUGGAGGCAUCAUACUAAAAUAGCUACUUCUGGAGGUAAGUUGAACAUUUCAUUUUCUGAGUUGACGUCCAGCAUAGAUGUGACCUCUUUCUUCUCCCUGGAUAUAUUCAGCAGUGCAGAUGGAAAGACUUUCAUAUAGAAUGCUCAAGGUAAGAAGCUGCAUCUUCAAUGAGGUUCUGGCAAUGAAAAAUCCAUGUAGAUGAGACUCAAUUUGUAUCAAGGUCCAAAUCCAUUCUGGUUGUUGCAGCAUUCUUUAGUUUCUUUAUUGUCUUCAAUGGAUAGCUGGCUUCUUUUUUCUUGAUUUUAUGUCUGUCCACAAUAAAUUGUCUCAUCAAGUGUAAAGCAAAGAAGGUUUUGUUCUGUCAUUAUAUUAAACUAUGAGUAUCUUAGAAAAUACUAGAUGGAAAGAAAGAGGAGGAAAGACAUGUCUCUCAGACCACAGCCUAAAGGGAAACCAGCAGUCUUUGCAAUACCAGUGGGAAUAACAGCCAAAGAGAUUUAAAAAAAAAAGAUCUGGGAAGUCAAGAGGUGACAAAGAAAAGGAUGCAUGGAUGGAUUCACUCUGCCAUAUUGGGGAAAAAAACAUGCAGUUUUCCUGUUCUGAUUGCUUUGACCAUUGUUACUUGCUUUUUUCCUCUUAUUUCACUAUUUAUGUUUUAUUUGGGGGGCAGGGUUGUUGUAUAUUGCUGCAAUGAGGUGUAUGCCCUUGUGACUUUUGGAUUCAUGAGGCACCUAGAAAAACACAUGCUUUCACCUUCUGACUAUCCUAAGCAGACUACUGCUUCAGCAAAGAAGAAUAGUAGAAUAGUAGAGAUGCAUAAGGAAUCUAGUUUUUGCACAUUCACAUACAAACUAAUUUUUCACAGUAAUGUGGGGGCAAGCACUUAGUUAACCAUGGGUUUCUGAAAGUUUCUGAAUAUUCUGAAGCAUUUCUCAAACCUAAAGAUACUAGAAAAUAUGUAUUUUAAGUAAAUAUGUAUUUUAAAAUGGUAGCAUUUGCACAUAUUUCAAUGAAAUUGACUACACUGCAUUCUUAUUUAAAUACCAGUUUCAGCAUCAUUAUUGUGUCAUUUCUUUUUCUAACACAGAUUAAUUUGGAACUGGGGCAAGAACUAAGCCUGGAAACAAAUUAUACUGGGGCUAUACAGGGGAACGCUUCCUAUAUAAGUUGAGGAUUGAUUUGGAGGCCAGAAUUGUUGAUUUUGAUAUGACCUGUGCUACUCUACACACAGAAGGGGAUGGUCCCUUUUUUCAUAAGAGUUAAAAUGCAGUACUUACAUUGGCCUGUGACUACAUUGACCCAGGUUUUUUGGGAUUUUUUAUUACAAUUUCUAGUCUUAUGCAUGGGUAUAUACAGUAAUUACCAGACAAUGUCCAAAAUGCAUGUAGAUAUAGAUAUAUGGUUAUAUAUUUCCUGGAGUUUUUAACAAAUAGAACUUAAAAAUAUAUAUUAGGAAAAUGUUUCAGCUUUAGCCCUUUUUUGCUGCUGAAUACAAAAGUGAGCAAGGGAUUAUUUUCAGUACCUCUUAUUAAAGUGUGGCUCAAAAUGGCAAGGUGGAGUGCCUGUUGUUUUCAGCUACUGAAGAAUGCAGAAACUAAAACAUUUUACUAAUAUACAAUAUAAUAUAAUAACAUAAAAUUUCUGUUUGUAAAUUAUUCUCGUAUGAGAGAGUGUAAUUAUGUGUGUCUCAAUAGAUAGAUAUAUAGAUCUGGAAUCAAGAACAAACUUUGCAUAUAUGCUGUUUGUUUGGUUUAAAAUCAUCUAGAUAUAGCACUACACACAAUAUGUAUGAAAAGCUCCCCCCAACAUCAUGUUCAAAAUCAGAGGGAGAGAGAGAGAGGGGAGGCACGUGUCAGUCUCUCUCUCACCUGGGAAUGUACUAUCUGAAUUGUGACUUAGCUCCCAACCCUCUCUCUCUAUUACUAUGCACUUCAGCUAUUAUGUUCUCUGCAGAAACUGAGAAACAGAUAAAUCACUUUUUAACCUCUUUCGCUCCACUAUAGGUUUUGACUACCCUGCCCUUUUUAUUAUCAUUCCCUUUUAUUUACAUCUUGCUUCACAUAUGGGAGGCUGAAGCAAAAUAUAUUUCCUCUCUGCAUGGCUAAAAACUGCCAUGGGGCAAAUGGGUUCAUGUUGAAUCUGCUGACUUCUCACCAUCUUCUUAUUUGUAGCCCUGCAUCAGUUCAAUGGGUGGCCUCGUGGAACAGGGUCUCUCUUCUGUUUGUAGAGACAGUAUGUAGGUGUAUACGUGUGUCUUCUGGUCCACUGUCAACAUAUAGAGACCCCAUGAAUGUCAUAAGAUUUUCUUAGGCAGGGAAUACUCAUUCCUGGGUUUUGGCAGUUUUGAAAUAUAGCCUACAACACCCAGUAUUCAUUAGCUGUCUCCCAUCCUGCUCACAGAUACUUACAUGUGCCCUCGAUCCCAUAGGUUUGCAGAACAAAAAUACAGGAACUUUACUGAUCCCAAGAGAUCAAAAACCAGUAGUAUUUACAAUGGUCCCUCUGAUCACUUACAGAAGUCUACAGUCAUAAACAAUAUUUUCUCAGACCACAAAUCAGCUUCAGAGAAGAAUACAGUCCUGGUUCUUCUCCCUCUUUUCUCAGCUCCAAACAGGCCUCAAAAUAGCAAGGCCUCUCUGAGUACACUGCUCUCUUCACUAGCAGUACUCAGCAAGCACUGAAAACAUGUCCAAAACUGGUUCUGCAGCAGAACAGAAACAGUAUCAGAUCAAUCCCCAGGUCUUUGCAGGCUCAGCCAAUCAGCUUCAUGCACUUCAUUUUCCAGUUAACACACACAGCACAGUGCCUUUGCAAACCAUGACAAUGAUGAUGACGACGACGACGAUGAUACAAUCUCUGGUGAUGGCUCAGUUUUGGAGAAUAUGAUUUCACAGAAAGCCCCUUUGGCUACAUGGGAAUAUACUCAGGGAGAGUAUCUUCUAUACAAAUUCCAUUGUAAGAAUGGGUGAAUUUCUUUUCAGUCCAUUUGUGAUAACAUAUUAACAAACUCCACAUUUUAAAAAUAUAUUAACCAUGGAAAGAAUUUGACAGGAAUUGAAAGUGGGAUAAUUAUUCACUCAGGCACAGAGCUUCACUGUUAAAAAUCUGGUUUUGGAUCCUUGUGUAUUCAACAAUAGUAGUACUGCUGAAUUGGUGUCACUUUUUUCCUGAGGAACUCCUCAUCUUCAGCAGCUAUGUGGUGGGCAGAUACAACACAGACCUCUCCACUUUAGCAAGAGCUGCAUGCAUUGAAUUCAAAUGGUACACAUUUUGAAAGAGUUUACUAAAAUUUGCGAAUCUCUCUCUAUUUUGGAUAGAAAUAAGUCAGAGCUUAUAAAAUAUAUAACCACAAUAUUUGUAUCUUACUUGUCCUAUGGAGUAACAGAUUAAAAUAUAAGAUCAGACACAUAACAGUUAAAAAUGCAAAUUCCAAUUAAAAUUCAUAAUCAUUCAUUUAAAGGGCAUAUAUAUUGAGAACAAUAAGUUACUAAUUUCAAAAUGCUUAAUGUAAAAACCAUCAGAAUAGAUCUGCCAGUUGAUAUUGGUCUUUAAUGUUGUUUUAAACAAAAUAUCAAUCUCUGCCAAAUCUCUUCUGGCAUAUCAUUCACAAUUUGUGGGUGGCUGAAGAAAAGGUCAAGUAGUUGCCAAACUAGUCCUAGGUUAGUGAAAGCCCCUCAGGGGACCUGAACAUAUAGGGUGGAUUAUACAGAAGUAGGCAAUUUCAUGGAUAACCUGGACUACACCCAUGUAGGGCUUUAAAGUUAACAACCAACAUUUUGAACCUUGUCUAGUUUCAGUCCAAUGAAACUACCCUGUCUAUAAAAUAAGCCAUAGCAGGAAUUCAAUGCAUUUGCACAAUAUAAGUCAUAUCCCAAAAAUAAGACAUAGUGUUAGGUGUGGCUAUGCAGAGUACUGGCAUGGAGCGUUAAAGAAGACGGGCAGCCCUUCUCAUCUGCCCCAUUGUGACAGCUGCUAUCUCGGAGGUGACAUCCCCUGAAAAUAAGCCAUAGUGUGUCAUCUUGAGAAAAAAGAAAUAUAAGACAGUGUCUUAUUUUCAGGGAAACAUGGUAGAUACAACCAGCAUGGUUUACACCUUUGCAUUCUCACACCGUUCCCAAUGCCAAUAUGUGGCAUCUACAGGGAGAAAGCAUUCUUACCAAUGGCUGUAUUUUCAUACUUUUCCAUUCAGUUAAGCAACAUUCAUUCUUAUUGUAGCCAGAGAGCUCUGUGGUGCCUUUAUGACUUAACCAGCCCAGCAAGUUCCAGUUUAUUGGAAUUUAAUUCCUCUGCUCCCUCUGGCCACUUGCUCCUAUGUCUCUCCUUAAACAAAAUAGUGGUGGAUGGGAGUGGGUGGGGAGUAGAGGAGGCCAAUAAUUGCCUAACUGGAUCACCUAGUAGGAUCUGAUCAUUGUAAAUGCAGCACUUUUUAAACAAAGCUUAUGAAACUAGAAAUGGCCUCAUUUGUUUAAGGAAAGUAUGUCUGUGCUUUCAAAGAGUGGUUAAAAUUAAAGAAGUAUUGAGACUGCUGUUUUCUCCCCAGGCUGAGAUUAAUCCAGAAAAAGGAGGCUUCUAAUUCACAUCUAACAUUGAGGAGGGGGGAAAAAAACAGAAAAAAGAGAAAACCUUAUAUGCAUAGUCUAGCUCUUGAUGUUAUAGACCAAUCAUGUUCUUCUGGUUUCCUGCUGCCCUGCUGUUACAUAAACUGCCAAGUCUGCAUUACCAUCUUGGUCGCUGACAUCAAAUGCAAAAAGCCAUGGAGCAAAGGCAUUUGACACAGUAUGCAACACAAAGGCAAGGGAUCAUCAUGGUAGCAAUGUUAUUAAGUAUAACGACUCUCAUUUCAGUCAUCCUAAUUAUCCACCCACACUCUACUGUAACUUCCCUCCUUCAUUUAGUCCAAAGAAGCCAGCUCUAUCAAUGGUCCAUUACAGAUCCUAGAAAGGUGUGGAUGGGUGAGGGUGUGAGUGUGUGUUCAUGUGCACACCUACAACAGGUAGAUCUUGGCUGGCAUCCUGUUGGCAAAAUAUGCCUGUGUGUUUCCUCCUCUUCCUCCUUUUGGUUGUUGUGGUAGUCAGCAUUCUUUACUGACCAUAGACAAUGACUAACACCCCUCAACUGCCUUUUACCUUCUUCACUCCCCAUAACAUGGCCAUUUGCAGGCUGUUGGUGGGAUAGCAGCAGAGUGGUUUCUAUCCUUGGAUACACAACAAUGAUAUUAUCCUCCUGGAGUUCUCAAAAAUCUCUUAGAGAACACAGAAGACAUUUCACCACUCGGUGUCCGGCUAGAGAACAUAACUACAUUUCCACUACAUUUUGUACUUCUUUCCCCAGUUCACAGGCGAGGAAUUUUGGAAAAUCCCAAAUACAGUAGAGUCUCACUUAUCCAACAUAAACGGGCCGGCAGAAUGUUGAAUAAGUGAAUAUGUUGGAUAAUAAGGAGGGAUUAAGGAAAAGCCUAUUAAACAUCAAAUUAGGUUAUGAUUUUACAAAUUAAGCACCAAAACAUCGUGUUAUACAACAAGUUUGAUAGAAAAAGUAGUUCAAUACGUAGUAAUGCUAUGUAGCAAUUACUGUAUUUACGAUUUUAGCACCAAAAUAUCACGAUGUAUUGAAAACAUUGACUACAAAAAUGCAUUGAAUAAUCCAGAACGUUGGAUAAGCGAGUGUUGGAUAAGUGAGACUCUACUGUAUAGUGAAAAUGAUCCAAAUCCACUAUGGGAAGCUUCCUCCCUUCCCUUCCCCCCCCCCCCCAAAAUAGGUAGGUGCAGUCCUCCAAAGUAUAUUAGUGGGUUAAUAUGCCCCACUAGCUUUCCACAGCUGCCCACCACAAUGGAUAAAAUUAUAUACUUAGGGUGCCACAGCAGAGAAGACCCUCUCUGAUGUCUUUCGACAGUGGGAUACAGACAAAGUCCACUACAACAAACUUUAAUUCUUAGAUAGACAUGUAUAGAGAGAGAGAGAUAGUAUCAAAGUCUACAUUAUUCAGGGCUUUAAACGUCAGCUUUGGAUUCAGAAUGGAAGUGUCAAUUCAAAGAAAUUGUUUUUCUUUAAUGAGGUUGCAAAAACACUUUAAGUGUAAAGAGCCAUUGUGAGCAAAUAAUUUCAUAUUCCAGUUUUGCAGAAAAGGGGAUAUAAUAAUGAUGGAAGAGAUAACGAUGGUUGCUGUGUAGAUUUUGUUGUCCAUAUCCCAUCUGACAACAAUCUCUGGAGGGCCACAAAAUCUGAUCUACACAGAUACAUUCAUCCCUACCCAGUCAUCCAUUCACCAGCUUUCAAAAACAGAUCAUCAGCUUAUUUUUCUGACAAUGUGGGCAUCCCAGCCUGUUUCAUUCCUGUUACUGCAAUCCAGGUGUCUUUGCAGAUAGAAAAUGUUUUAGCAGAUAAUAUUGAGUGGUGCAAAAUGGCUUACAAAGCUGUAAUGGCUUGAAUAUAGAGUCAAUCCUAUUAUCUCUAUUAUGGUUACUUGCUGGGCAAAUUUUCCCUUUUAGCUGCAAAGGUCUGUGUUUUCAUCUCUUCCGUUUGGCGCACAAAGUUCACCUGGCAACCAGUGGUGUCCAAUUUUUCCCUAGCCACUUUGCCCUUACACAAACACCAUGACUAGAUAAUUGACUGGCACUCAAGCUGUGUCCUGGAGACACAUAAUGGAAGCCAAGGUCACCUACUUCCUAGCAGAGUGUCAAUCCAUCUAAUCCAUUCUGUCGCUUCCUACAUGCAGAAUCUAGGUGCUGAAUGCUUUUACUUGAAGUGUGUGAGGUGUCUGCCAGUAGCAGAUAUAUAAAAGGCUAAGAUGGGAAGAUUCUGGAAUAGCCUGGCAUAUGGUUGUCUACAGUGUAUCUUGGUUUCAGAUAUGUUUUAAUCUAUGUUUGGUUUUCAUUUUUGUUGGAUUGGGCUUGUUCCCAUGUAAGCCGCCCCAAGUUCCUUCGGGAAGAUGGAGGCAGGAUAUGAAAAUAAAGUUGUUGUUGUUGUUGUUGUUGUUGUUCACAUGCCAGGUGCCUUCUGGUGGUGUUGCACUACAUUCUGGCUUGGAUUGAUGGACAUUACAGUCCAACACAUCUGGAGAGAACCAGGUAGUUCAAGGCUGCUCUUGCACAUCUUCCAUGUUCUCUUUUGUGCUGUCUUCUUAGAACUACAUUUCAUCUGUUUAUAAACAAAGGACUUUAUCACACAAUUUCACUAUUCCACUACAGCCACACUUUCAUUAAUAGUGAAUACACACCAGAUUCACCACAGAUAUUGCCCCUCUCUUCAAUCAUUCAAUUCCACUUAUUUGGCAAUUACGGUCCCAUAAUCGGAUUUGUGCAUAUCUCUGUAACCCUGUCUUUUACACUACCAUUAUUCCUUAAUUUUUCAUUCUGUUUUAGAGCAAUUUUGCGGUUCCAGUUUUGGGAAAAAAAAGACAAAUAUAACUAUAAAAUAUAAAAUAAAAUGGAAAUGGGAAGCUAGGGAAUAACCAAGGAGAGGAGGAAAAUGCCCCCCCCACCCCCCUACAGCACUUUGCUUUCAGCAUGCAAGCAUACAAACAGAGUAGACUUACCACCCUCACGUAGGUGAUGGGAAUGUUGUUGGGUAGGGAAGUAUUGACGAGAAUCACAUGGAGGAGGCAGAUUGGCAGCACGUUGAAUACAGCAUCAUGCAAUAGCUGCAACGUCAGUUUUCUUGCCUCGUGUGAUAAAGUUUGUAGGCUCUGUUGUCUCCCUUUUUGUGGGCUUGGAUUCACCUUUCACCCCAUAUUUGAAUUUUGUAGCAUUGAAUUAAUGCCAGUUAAGAUAAGCUUAAGAUAAUGAUGAUUUCCUCUCCCAUUUCCAUUUCUCUUUGGAUUCUUGAGCUAUAGAACUGGAAUGGACUAGAUGGACUGACCCUCUACUAUGAAGAAAGUGACUGUGGCUUUCAUUAUGUGACCUCAGGACACAACUUGAGCACUGGUCAAUCAUCUUGGCAUGGUGUUUA